GGAAAGGUGUGACCUGCAGCGAGCACGGCUGGGAGGAGGAACCCGCUACCGCCGGUGACAGGCUCGGCGGGCGCUGCGCCAGGCGGAGUCGCUCUUCCUCAGCAAGCGGUCCGACCGGUGUGGUUGCACCUGAUUUUCCUGGACAGAUCUGUCCAGCAGUGGUAGUACACGCCUUUAAAAUUCCCAGCAUCUGGAAGGCAGAGGCAACCUGGUCUACAGAGUGAUUUCCGGGACAGACAGAGCUACACUGAGAAACUCUGUCUCAAAAAAAAAGGUCAUCCAAGAAAAGAAACACUACAAGUCACAACAAACCAGUAGCUAGCUGCUUACCUGAUAUCAGAGCAGCUCAUCAGAACACAGCCAGAGAAGUGAAGACUGGUGUCAGUGACCCUGAGAUGUGAGAAGGACGUACGGGACAGAAACUGAAGCACCUGGGACAGGCUGAGGUGGCCAAGAACAGGAAGUCAGACACAGUAGAGACCGGAGAGAAAGAAAUAGACUCCGGGAGUGCCCCUGUUUCUGGAAUUGAAAUGAGCUGAAGCUGUGCAUAUCGCAGUUUGAAAGCUUUACAACCAGGCUUGGUGACACAGGCAGGUCUGCAAAGUCAGCACUCAGGAGGCUGAGGCAGCUUGGAGCUCCAGUUCAGUGCUAGCCUGGGUUAUCCAAAGAGACACUAUCUCGGCAGGAAGUGGUGGACGGUGCUUUUAAUCCCAGCAUUCAGAAGGUAGAGGCAGGGGGAUCUCUGAAUUCGGGGACCAGCUUGGUCUACAGAGUGAGUUCCAGAACAGCCAGGGCAGAGAGAGAGAGAGAGAGAGAGAGAGAGAGAGAGAGAGAGAGAGAGACAGAGACACAGAGAGAGACAGAGAGACAACACACGAGGAUGUAGCAAUGGUUCUCAACCUGUGAGAUUCAGUGAGUGCGCUGCUUAGGUUUUGUGUCGUUGUCAUCUUGUUGUUUGGCAACUUGACAGAAGCUCAAGUCUUCUGGGAAGAGGAAACCCCAGCUGAGAAAGUGUUUCCAUCAGACUGAUCUAUGGGCAAGCCUGCGGGGCAUUUUCUUGAUUUAUGAUUGCUGUGCGUGUGUGGGUCCAGCCUGCUGGAGACAGUGCCACCCCUGGAUAGGUGGUCCUGAGCUGUAUGAGAAAGCCGACAGAGCAAGUCACAGAGAGCAAGCCAGUAAGCAAGUAUUCCCCACUGGCCUCUCCUUCAGUUCCUGCCUCCGGGUUCCUCCCUGACUGAGUUCCUGUCCUGACUUCCCCCAGUGAUUGACUGUAACCUGGUGGUUGUAAGACAAAGUAAACACUUUCUUCCA